rnacentral:rRNA from 1 species
UACGUAGGGGGCAAGCGUUGUCCGGAAUCACUGGGCGUAAAGCGCACGUAGGCGGAUUGUUAAGUCAGGGGUGAAAUCCUGGAGCUCAACUCCAGAACUGCCUUUGAUACUGGCGAUCUCGAGUUCGGGAGAGGUGAGUGGAACUGCGAGUGUAGAGGUGAAAUUCGUAGAUAUUCGCAAGAACACCAGUGGCGAAGGCGGCUCACUGGCCCGAUACUGACGCUGAGGUGCGAAAGCGUGGGGAGCAAACAGG